rnacentral:rRNA from 1 species
GACGGAAGGUGCAAGCGUUGCUCGGAAUCACUGGGCGUAAAGGGCGCGUAGGCGGCUUGGUCAGUCCCGUGUGAAAUCCCUCGGCUCAACUGAGGAACUGCACGGGAAACUGCCUGGCUUGAGUUCGGGAGAGGGAAGCGGAAUUCCGGGUGUAGCGGUGAAAUGCGUAGAUAUCCGGAGGAACACCGGUGGCGAAGGCGGCUUCCUGGACCGACACUGACGCUGAGGCGCGAAAGCUAGGGGAGCAAACGGG